rnacentral:misc_RNA from 1 species
GAUGAAGAACGCAGCGAAAUGCGAUACGUAAUGUGAAUUGCAGAAUUCAGUGAAUCAUCGAGUCUUUGAACGCACAUUGCGCCCCCUGGUAUUCCGGGGGGCAUGCCUGUCCGAGCGUCAUUGCUGCCCUCAAGCACGGCUUGUGUGUUGGGCCCCGUCCUCCGAUCCCGGGGGACGGGCCCGAAAGGCAGCGGCGGCACCGCGUCCGGUCCUCGAGCGUAUGGGGCUUUGUCACCCGCUCUGUAGGCCCGGCCGGCGCUUGCCGAUCAACCCAAAUUUUUAUCCAGGUUGACCUCGGAUCAGGUAGGGAUACCCGCUGAACUUAAGCAUAUCAAUAGCGGAGGA